rnacentral:rRNA from 1 species
GGGGGGGCGUGCCUAUAAUGCAAGUCGAGCGCAGGAAGUUAUCUGAUCCUCUUCGGAGGUGACGAUAAUGGAAUGAGCGGCGGACGGGUGAGUAACACGUAGGCAACCUGCCUGUAAGACUGGGAUAACUCGUGGAAACGCGAGCUAAUACCGGAUAACACUUUUCAUCUCCUGGUGAGAAGUUGAAAGGCGGCUUUUGCUGUCACUUACAGAUGGGCCUGCGGCGCAUUAGCUAGUUGGUAAGGUAACGGCUUACCAAGGCGACGAUGCGUAGCCGACCUGAGAGGGUGAUCGGCCACACUGGGACUGAGACACGGCCCAGACUCCUACGGGAGGCAGCAGUAGGGAAUCUUCCGCAAUGGACGAAAGUCUGACGGAGCAACGCCGCGUGAGUGAUGAAGGUUUUCGGAUCGUAAAACUCUGUUGUUAGGGAAGAACAAGUACUAUAGUAACUGAUAGUACCUUGACGGUACCUAACCAGAAAGCCACGGCUAACUACGUGCCAGCAGCCGCGGUAAUACGUAGGUGGCAAGCGUUGUCCGGAAUUAUUGGGCGUAAAGCGCUCGCAGGCGGUUCUUUAAGUCUGAUGUGAAAUCUUACGGCUCAACCGUAAACGUGCAUUGGAAACUGGGGAACUUGAGUGCAGAAGAGGAGAGUGGAAUUCCACGUGUAGCGGUGAAAUGCGUAGAGAUGUGGAGGAACACCAGUGGCGAAGGCGACUCUCUGGUCUGUAACUGACGCUGAGGAGCGAAAGCGUGGGGAGCGAACAGGAUUAGAUACCCUGGUAGUCCACGCCGUAA